rnacentral:ribozyme from 1 species
CAAAAGGAAAAGAAGAGAACAGAAAAGAAAACGAAUGCAUGGAAUGCCGUCACACAGACAGACAGACAGACACACCACUCGACGUUUAUUUUUGCGUCCACUUCAUUUUCAUCCUGGACAGAAUCUUUCGUCUUUUCUUUCUGUUUCUUUU